ACAUGUUCCUUAUUCUGCCCAAUACGUCGUCCGUUUUCGUCGUACUCUGUCGCACUUCCCUCGCGCUGAAAUGGGCCGAAGCCCAACACAUUCGUUUCCCACCGCGUCGCCUCAUUCCCUGGAAAAAAAACAUCCCUUCUUUCUUCUCUCACGAAGCACCUUCUUCCUAGGGUUCGGCCACGCCGCCGCUUUCUCCACGCCGUCUCCUGACUGUGCGCCGCCGCUCGACCGCGCCGAAUCCCACCUAUCCGCCGCUGCUCGCCCGCUCGGCCCUGCCUGUGCUCGAGCUCCGCCAGGACAUGAGCUCACCCGACCGACCAGCACAUCUAGGACCUGGCAGGGCAUCAGGUGAGGCAUAAGCCGCCUCAAACUCUCCAAGGCGCAGGACUCCUCUCCCUUGACGGAACUAUCUCUGUCCUGGCGGUCAAUCAGAAAAUCGCUCCACGCUGCCUCCAGUUCUGUCAUCGGCCACUGUCUCAGCUUCUGUCCAAGCCCACUUUCUAUCGAUCCCAUGCCCUUCAUAUCCUCCUCCUCCUGGUGAUACUGCAACGCGGCGGCGCGGCGGCAGCAGCCCAAAUUUGCACGAUCCGGCCGGACACAGCUAUACAUGGCUGAUCUCAGGAGCAGCAACUAGCCUGGUGAAGUCGAUGGUUAAGAGAUAUGAGAAAGUUCUUGCGUGGGUAUCUCCUGGAUGCACCUGUUGGGGCACAAAACCUACAUGGUCAUCGUACUAAUUGGUAGCUGUAAGGUCUUAUAGUGCAAGACGAAAAUUGGCAAAUGAGAAAGUGAAAACUAACAGACAAAAAAGCAUAACAAAAUAACAUGAUCAAGGAAAAACGAAUUGGACGAACUUAAGAGAUGCUUAGUUCCCGGCCGUUCAAAACUAUUCAUCCGCAUCUGACAGUCCCUAGAUCCAUGGGUAUAUACCCCCUGGGUAUCCACUUAUUUCCCAAAAACGAUUCAAGAAUCAAAAAGACUGAUAGGUGCUUGAUGAAAUUCCGGUAUGAGGCGUCAAGGAGAAUUCCUUCCUCACUACCUCGGCACUGUCAUAGCCAAGGUAGAUUCGGCCCCUGCUAAAUAUUGAAUAGUUGUACAUCCAACCAUUGGGAAUCCUUCGGCAGUAAUUGAAAAAGUACUUAUGAUUUGUUCUUUCUGCUACCGUGGGGUUGGAAAGGAUGCUAAUUGCGGUAAUCACUUUUGUCAAGAGAGGACUGUCUGAUAAAUGUUUUUAGUUCUGUUAAUUAAAGAACAAAAAGUAGACAAGUAAUCAUGUGUGUCUAUGUUUUGUUUCUCAAUAACUAUUUAAUCAAGCUCCUACAUGCUCUGUCUCGCUAUUGAUUUUUUAGUGAUUUGGGGAUUAUUUCCAGGGUUUACUGGUGGAUGCUGAAUUAGGGAAGAGAGACGCUGCCCCAUGCCAUGGUUACAAUUUGAAGCUGUAUAAAUAGUUUAUGUCAUCCUUUGAGUAAUGGAGUCCUCAAGUUGUCCUUACAAAAUGAUGCAGCUGUUGCACUGAAGAAGAUGAGCGAUAAGCAGCUUUCUGGAAGGAACAUGUGGUGCACUAUGAGAACAUCAGAUGAUUUGUUGUUACCAUUGAGUAAGGGAUCUGGCGUAGAACCAACUUACAUGUGAUAUUUCAAGGCUUAUCUAUCGAAAUGAAGUUCUGCAUACAUGUUUGAGCGGUAAUUCACUUACUGGAACCUUGUCACCUGAUUUGUGCUAGCUGACUUGCACGCGGUACUUGUAAGUUCUAUGCUUACUCGGAGAUGCUGCUUCAUAUCAUGCUAAUUAAUCUUCAUUUAUGAAAUACAUGGACAUUUCAUAUAACCAAAUUUUCAGAAAAAAAUACCAUACAACGACGGUUUCUUUCUAAUAGCCACAGUGUAAGCCAUCCUGAUUCCGUGCAAAUCUUAUAAACUCUACCUUUUGUACACUUGCAAUAUAUUGUUAUAUAUUCACAUUCUGACUUAAGCUUAACUUUUUCGUAGGUCCAUAAGACAAACAUAUGCUUGUUGCUUGAGAGCUAUUGAAAUGUACUUGUAUGGUCCACCAUGGUGCAUUGAUUAAUUUACUAUAUCAGUUACAUAUGCUUGGGAAGAUAUGUAUCACCUAGCAGUUUAUUGACGAUGAAAUUCUUAGCUUUGUUUACUUACAAAUGCUUUGGAAGUGAGGGAAAUGCACUUAGUUGGUUUAUGUAUGUUUUUAGUUUAUUUCUUGGUUAGCGUCAAGUUGAAUUUAUUGGUGCAUUGAAACAAUUAAAACAUACAAAUGCUUAGGAAGGAAAUUAUAUCAUCCAACGGUUUAUUAGUGAUGACAUUUCUAGCUAUUAGUCUUUCCAACAAGUUUCAUUUUGUUUAUUUCAGUUUUGAUGCUUCACAAACCUCCUCUCUAUGAACAUUUGUGUGUAGCUACAAGCCAAUCCAACCUAUGAUUAGAAGGGCUGGUACGGGCGAGACUAUUGGAGGAUGCCCAGUUUUUUGCGCUCUUUAUCGACACAUGUGCAUACAGACCAGUCGAUCAUCAGAAUGGAAACAUAUUGUGGAUGAACGUGAUCCCAUUGAAGUUCUUUGGCAGAAGGAAUGUGUGUUCUACAAGAUAGUAUGAGCCCCUUAUUGAUAGUAUGUCAUGAGGAUUAAAUGUGAAGCCGACACAUGUUCCCUUAUCUGCAUAUUGCUCUAUUGUCAAGGAAGAUUGGUGUGAAGAUACAAUAGUCUACUUUAACAAUUUACCACAAUGCAAAGUUAAUGGUUAGAUUUUGAAGGUGUGACGAAAUGUGCUAUUCAACGCAAAAAAAAGCUAUUUAGCAACAAAACUGUUCAUAUUUCAGUAGAGUAGAAAAUCGGCAAGUUCCUUUCAUGAUUUUUGUUUUCACUAUCUCUUCUAACAUCUUUUAUGAUCUUAUUUUAAUGUAGUGCAUUUGCUAAAUAGUUAACAAAUUUGAGUAAUUUGAUGUGUGCAAGUCAGUAACACAAAUAGAUGAGUUGUUCUACCAAGAAUACUUUCUAAAAUGGUGUGUACUUAGUGUAGGCUCAUAUUUUCCAAAAAAAUGUUGUGAGAGUUUCGCAUGUCUCAAUCGUAAUUUUGGGUUAACCAUCUUUUUUAUUUGCUUACAUGUAUUGUUAACCCGUGGCAACGCACGGGCAUUUUACUAGUCUCCCUAAAAUCCCCAAUUUUUGCGCCGCCAGGCUGCGCGAAUUUCUCGCCGGAGUUCCGAUCGGCCGCCGCCAUUGAAGCUCAGAACCGGAGGGCACGGAACCGCUCGGGAGAGGUCGCCGGAGCUUUCGCCGGAGUUCACCAUCGCUCGGAGCUCCAUCCGCUCGUAGCUGCCACCCGAGAGAGAAAUACACGACGGGAGAAACAUUACUGUGACCGUUGUUGUCCGCAACAUCUCGUCGGCCGAGUCUCCAGCGCCAAGGACUACCAGAGACGCCGGGACGACGUCGCCGUCCACGCCUGACCACCACGCCGUCUGGUUCAUCCUAAUCGACCAUCACCAGCAGGGUAAUG